UGCAAGUCGAGCGAGCGGAACCAACAGAUUUACUUCGGUAAUGACGUUGGGAAAGCGAGUGGCGAACGGGUGAGUAACACGUGGGUGAUCUGCCCUGCACUUCGGGAUAAGCCUGGUAAACUGGGUCUAAUACCGGACCCGAUCCUCUGUUAGUGUAUCCUGGGUUCCAUUUUCUUGU
rnacentral:rRNA from 1 species